GGUAAUUCUAGCUCAUCUGGUAGAGCACCGAUUUGUGGAUUCGGGUGGUUUGGUUCGAGUCCAAAGUAUUACC
rnacentral:tRNA from 1 species